CUCUCCCGGGUGGUAGGGGCACACCUCAGCGCGUAUUCUGAAUCCUUUUUACGAGUACCUUCGUUCUCCUUCGGUGGGGCAACCUGCCGCUGGAACUUAACAAAACCUUUUUUGCAUCUAGCAUUACCUGUUCUGAUACAAACAAUCGUUACAACUUUCAACAAUGGAUCUCUUGGCUCUGGCAUCGAUGAAGAACGCAGCGAAAUGCGAUAAGUAGUGUGAAUUGCAGAAUUCAGUGAAUCAUCGAAUCUUUGAACGCACAUUGCGCCCCUUGGUAUUCCAUGGGGCAUGCCUGUUCGAGCGUCAUCUACACCCUCAAGCUCUGCUUGGUGUUGGGCGUCUGUCCCGCCUUUGCGCGUGGACUCGCCCCAAAUUCAUUGGCAGCGGUCUUUGCCUCUCUCGCGCAGCACAAUUGCGAUGAGGGGGGCGUGGCCCGCGUCCACGAAGCAACAUUACCGUCUUUGACCUCGGAUCAGGUAGGGAUAACCGCUGAACUUAAGCAUAUCAAUA
rnacentral:rRNA from 1 species